rnacentral:misc_RNA from 1 species
UCCCAAAAAUUUGGGGUCGGCUAGCAAAUAGAAUCAGAGAGUAAAAAAUUUAUCCCAUAAGUUCAGAUAAAAAAAUAAGUCAAAUUUGUGAAUUGAAGAGAAGAAUAUACUUCAUUAUCCUGGGCAUUUAAUUCUGUCCCGGUCAAGUUGGGAUGUGAGAAAUGAAAGGCCAAUUUCCACAUCUUUCUUCCAACUGAGGACAACCAAUGAUUAACAACUGUAUGCAGUCUUCUUCUUUUCAUCCUUGACAAAUGACUCAUGUCAUCAGUUCAAUUGACC